CGACAGAAUGGAGUCACAGGCAAUCGCAGAAAGCGCCAUUUUUUUGUAUUCUUUUCUUUAGCGUUUCCUUUUGAUGAUGAUAAUUCCAUUUCUGGGGCCGCCAUUAUCUUUUUGAGAGCGUCCCCUUUUGUGAGUCGCAGCUGCCGUGUGGGUUGUCAAGUGGGCUCGCCUGCUCGAAUCCUCCAGAACUGCGCUUCACAAACUGCGGGUCCGCCAGCCGUACUUCGGAGGUCUGCAAAAUCACGCAGUGGCGCCUUGAGUCGUAGAGCCAUCCGAGGUUUUGCCGCCAGGAAGUACGUGUGAUGGUGAAAAGGCUCCUCCACGCGCCUUCGUGUUCAUCUCCAACCGGCUGGCUAAGGCAGCUGAGAGGCGCCUGGUUCGAUACUUUCCUCAUUGAGGAUGCGGCUGGAGUCAAGUGUGUCAUUAUUCUUCGGUGGCAGGUGUUGUCAUUGAGACCGUCGCCCGCUUCCCGCCAGUUGUUGUCACCGCUCACAAAAUUUCCUGCUGUCGUUUCCUCGAGGUCCUCCGGGCUCAGGCCGGUGAUAUGCAUGCAGCAUUUGUCACGGCUUCUUUCUAUGGACAGAAGUAUUUGCGCGCACCUCUUAAUCGAUUAAUCGGCUAAUCGGAGGUCGGACGGCACAUUUUAGCUGUCCAUUAAUCUUAAUCAGAUAUUUUUUUGCGACCAAUCGCAAAAGAAUCGUUUGGGAAGCUCCUUUCCGACAUCCGAUGUAGAUUUAUUAAAAAGAUCACAAAUCGAUAACACAAGACAGAUGUGCAUUUUAUUCCUCAUCUAUGUGGCAUUUUAUGGCUUUAUUGUAAUUGGGGCAUCACCCCAAAAAAGCCAUUAAAAACUGUCAAAUAUCAAAGGGGGUGAAUGAUACAAUAAUCAUCAUACAGUGUACCAUGACAGUUGCCCUCAUAGAAUUUGAUGUUAAUAUAAUCAGCACUUCUUAUUGAGUGGGGAGAGGGGUAAUGACUUCAUCAGGGUCAUGGGGUUAACCCUCUGACAAUAAAG